UCGAGAAUCUUCCGCAAUGGACGAAAGUCUGACGGAGCGACGCCGCGUGAUUGAUGAAGUCCCUAGGGACGUAAAGAUCUUUUAUGUAGGAGAAAUUUUUGAUAGUACUACAUGAAUAAGGGGUUGCUAAACUCGUGCCAGCAGCAGCGGUAAUACGAGUGCCCCAAGCGUUAUCCGGAAUUACUGGGCGUAAAGCGUGUUCAGGUGGUCUCAUUAGUCUCUAGUCAAAUUCUUCGGCUUAACCGGGGGUCCGCUAGAGAUACGGUGAGACUACGAGUGUACGAGGGGCAAGUGGAACUCAUGGUGUAGGGGUGAAAUCCGUUGAUAUCAUGGGGAACACCGAAAGCGAAGGCAGCUUGCUGGCGUAUUACUGACACUUAUACACGAAAGCGUGGGUAGC
rnacentral:rRNA from 1 species